GACAGAGGGGGCAAGCGUUGCUCGGAAUUACUGGGCGUAAAGGGCUCGUAGGCGGCCAACUAAGUCAGACGUGAAAUCCCUCAGCUUAACUGGGGAACUGCGUCUGAUACUGGAUGGCUUGGAUCCGGGAGAGGGAUGCGGAAUUCCAGGUGUAGCGGUGAAAUGCGUAGAUAUCUGGAGGAACACCGGUGGCGAAGGCGGCAUCCUGGACCGGUAUUGACGCUGAGGAGCGAAAGCCAGGGGAGCAAACGGG
rnacentral:rRNA from 1 species